CCUUGUCUGGGUACAUUACGCGUCACAAAUGAGAAGCACAAUUCACGUAAGGAGGAUAGCGCGUUCGGCGGGUAAACUUGUUUCCAGACCAACGAAAGAACCAGCGGAUGGGCAGGUAGCACAUGGAAUGCGUCAUUAAGCCCUGGUGCAGGACAUCCGCAGCGUCCAUCUCACCGUAGGUGCUGUAACCAUUGCGCACGCUGCUGAUCCAGAAACUCGAAAGCCUGUUGCUGCAGCUUGAAUUCUGCCCUCGGUGCAGAGGCCUCCAUCCACAACGGUUGGCGAGGACUGCAUGUAUCGCUACGGAUAGCUGUUUGCGCGUCAUU
rnacentral:lncRNA from 1 species